rnacentral:rRNA from 1 species
UACGUAGGGGCCUAGCGUUGUCCGGAAUUAUUGGGCGUAAAGCGCGUGUAGGCGGCUUUGCAAGUCGGGUGUGAAAGCCCUCAGCUCAACUGAGGAAGUGCGCCCGAAACUGCAGAGCUUGAGUACCGGAGAGGGUGGCGGAAUUCCCCAAGUAGAGGUGAAAUUCGUAGAUAUGGGGAGGAACACCGGUGGCGAAGGCG